AGUUUACAGGGGUUAUGUGCUGCCUGGUGAAGUUCAUGUCUGAGCAACCCCUCUUCUGAAGGAAACUCCAAAAAAACAGUUUGUUUCUGGCAGCUGCCCCUUUCUGAAGUUGUGCCUUCUGGGUCAGAGAUGAAAGGAGCUGGUUGUAACCCUGUGCAACUGAAACCCUUUUUCCGAAGGUCUGGACCUGAGUCAACUGAACUUCUCCAGUGUGUGGUGAUCAUUGAAUUGGACUUGGAGACAUGAGAAAAGGUGCUGGAAAACUUGGAGCUGGCUCUGAAUUGCCAUUCAAGCAAUUUGUGUAAAAAAAGGCUGCCAGCUCAAGGAGAUGGUGGAAAAUGAGCCAAAAGCAUCGUGUGAGUCAAGAGGCACUGAAGUGCUGCCAAGCAUCGAUUCCCACCAUGGCAGGAACGACUCCCGGGGUGGUGAAUUCCAAAGAAAUGUCUCUGUGGUGGCUGGCACCGGCUGCAGCAGGAAAGUCACGCCGAGACAGGA